AACUCUGAGCAGUGGAUCACGUGGCUUGUGCGUCAAUGAAGAACGCAGCUAAUUGCGAGAACUAAUGUGAAUUGCAGGACACAUUGACCAUCAACACUUUGAAUGCACUUUGCGGCCCCGAGUUACUCCUGAAGCUACGCCUGUCUCAGGGUCA